CUUCAGCUGCUUUUGGCCCUCAGUACAAAUCCCACUGAAGUCAAUAGCAGAUUUCCUAUUGAUGCCAAGGAGUAUGGAUCAGAGACUAGCUGAGCAGAAGGGUCUUUAAGAGGACAGAACACCACAGAGAAGAUGUCACCCUGCUAUGCCUGGAACAUGAGGCAUCUCUGACUAGAAACCCUUAUGGAGACAUAAUUUGUAGAGGCCAAGGCUGCAUCACUCCUGGAGAGGCAUCAUGGCAAGAGAGCUCAGCGGGUGUCACCACCGCGAUGCUGACCCACCCCCACCACAGGUCUGCUCGGAGGCUCUGCAACGCACUUCUUCGCCAAGGGCUGUCGAAUGCUCUUCAGCAAACUCUGAGGUUGUGUUCCAGCCACCAUGAGGAGCCAAUAUUAACAGCUAUUUCAAUUGACACUAGGAGGCACAAAAAUUAAAUACCCCCUGAAAUGAACAAGAGGUAGUAGAUUGAACUCAGAAAUAUGACUUCAGAGUCUCCAUAACAUCAAUUAAAUACUGCAUCAGAUGCCUCCAACUUAGGUUUGAAAAGGCUUGGGCUAGGGUUUUACAACUGUACUUCUUUAGAAAUAGAAGGUUUAAUACAGGUUAGAUUUUGCAACAAAUAGCAUGUCUUCAAAAUUCCAGAAAUACAAGAUUUCAUCUCCUGAAUGGCUAAAACAAAUAUGCAAAACAAAAAACAAGCAAACCCAUGGAGAAAUUACAAAACCUAUGGAACUGCAAAGGGUUUUAGAACCUAAAAUCUAGAUUUAGCACACAAAUAAGUAGGAUUUCCAAAGAAUCCUAUUGCUUUCAUUCCCAUUCAAUGCUAGACAUCUUUUCCACAUAGGAAAAGAAUCUUUUUAAGUUUCAUUAAUGUCAGUUUUGUAUAUACCAAUAGACUGUGUGUAUAUAGGAGAGAAGGGAGUAUACUACACAGCUGGGAGCUUUCUUCACUAAUUACUUGUUUUCUCUUUCUGAGCAAAAUAAAUACAACAACAAAAUUCAACAGGGCAUAACAGCACAUUAAGGCUGCACAUUUUCCAUCAGACUCCACCAGUAUUUGUCUCAGUCAUGCUUAGGCCAAGACCCCCAGUCCAUGGCAUCAUUCAUAUCAUACACAUCAUUCAUAUAGCUCCUAUUCCAAAAUAGGAGCUAUAAUAAUGUAUGCACACACAUAUAGUAAAACAAUUAAAAUACUCUGACUUUGAGCAAGGUAAGGUAGUGAUGCUGGAAUGCUAGUUAAUCAGAUGUUAUAUUACUUAAGAAAGAAACUCCUGUGUCAGCAGCAUUGAAUCAUUUUGUCCUAAAUAAAGAAGCCUGUUACA